rnacentral:rRNA from 1 species
UACGAAGGGUGCAAACGUUGCUCGGAAUUAUUGGGCGUAAAGCGCACGUAGGCGGCUAUCUAAGUCGGAUGUGAAAUCCCUCGGCUUAACCAAGGAAGUGCACCCGAAACUGGAUAGCUUGAGUACAGAAGAGGAUCGCGGAAUUCCCGGUGUAGAGGUGAAAUUCGUAGAUAUCGGGAGGAACACCAAUGGCGAAGGCAGCUCUCUGGGACGGUACUGGACGCUGAGACGCGAAAGCGUGGGGAGCGAACGGG